rnacentral:misc_RNA from 1 species
GAAAUGCGAUAAGUAAUGUGAAUUGCAGAAUUCAGUGAAUCAUCAAAUCUUUGAACGCACAUUGCGCUCGCCAGUAUUCUGGCGAGCAUGCCUGUUCGAGCGUCAUUUCAACCAUCAAGCUCUGCUUGCGUUGGGGAUCCGCGGCUGCCCGCGGUCCCUCAAAAACAGUGGCGGGCUCGCUAGUCACACCGAGCGUAGUAACUCUACAUCGCUAUGGUCGUGCGGCGGGUUCUUGCCGUAAAACCCCCAAUUUCUAAGGUUGACCUCGGAUCAGGUAGGAAUACCCGCUGAACUUAAGC